GAUGAACGCUGGCGGCGUGCCUAACACAUGCAAGUCGAACGGAGUUUAGCGCUGAUGAAGCUUCGGCAGAAUCUUGUUAAACUUAGUGGCGGACGGGUGAGUAACGCGUGGGUAACCUGCCUCAUACAGGGGGAUAGCAGUUGGAAACGACUGAUAACACCGCAUAAGCGCACGGUAUCGCAUGAUACAGUGUGAAAAUAUUUAUAGGUAUGAGAUGGACCCGCGUCUGAUUAGCUAGUUGGUGAGGUAACGGCCCACCAAGGCGACGAUCAGUAGCCGGCCUGAGAGGGCGGACGGCCACAUUGGGACUGAGACACGGCCCAAACUCCUACGGGAGGCAGCAGUGGGGGAUAUUGCACAAUGGGCGAAAGCCUGAUGCAGCGACGCCGCGUGAGUGAAGAAGUAUUUCGGUAUGUAAAGCUCUAUCAGCAGGGAAGAAAGACCUCGUAAGAGG
rnacentral:rRNA from 1 species